UACGAAGGGUGCAAGCGUUACUCGGAAUUACUGGGCGUAAAGGGUGCGUAGGUGGUCGUUUAAGUCCGUUGUGAAAUCCCAGGGCUCAACCCUGGACAGGCGGUGGAAACUACCAAGCUGGAGUACGGUAGGGGCAGAGGGAAUUUCCGGUGUAGCGGUGAAAUGCGUAGAUAUCGGAAGGAACACCUGUGGCGAAAGCGGCUCACUGGACCAUUGCUGACGCUGAUGCACGAAAGCUAGGGGAGCAAACAGG
rnacentral:rRNA from 1 species